CUAUUGUGUGAAAGGACAAGGGAUUAACUCUCCUUUUCAUAAAGAUGGAAGAGGUCCUAGUGACCUUUACAAUACAUAAAAUUAAAGUAUUUCCAUUUACUCUGUGGCAUCCUCUCAUGUUUGAGUUUUU
rnacentral:ncRNA from 1 species